rnacentral:rRNA from 1 species
AGUCCCGCAACGAGCGCAACCCUUAUCCUUAGUUGCUAGCAGGUUAUGCUGAGAACUCUAAGGAGACUGCCGGUGACAAACCGGAGGAAGGUGGGGACGACGUCAAGUCAUCAUGGCCCUUACGGGAUGGGCUACACACGUGCUACAAUGGCAUAUACAAAGGGUUGCGAACUUGCGAGAGUGAGCGGAUCCCAUAAAGUAUGUCGUAGUCCGGAUUGGAGUCUGCAACUCGACUCCAUGAAGUCGGAAUCGCUAGUAAUCGUAGAUCAGAAUGCUACGGUGAAUACGUUCCCGGGCCUU